UGUUAAAAAUUCCAAUUAUUUUUACUGUUUAAAAUUGUUGUGAAUGACAGAAUAAAAAAAGAGUUGCACAUGGCAUAUCACGUGUACCUCAUAUAGCCUACAAUGAUUAGUUUUCAAUAGUUGAAUUGGAUGAACUUUUUAACA
rnacentral:pre_miRNA from 1 species